CGAACGGGUGAGUAACGCGUGAGGAACCUGCCUCAAAGAGGGGGACAACAGUUGGAAACGACUGCUAAUACCGCAUAAGCCCACAGCUCGGCAUCGAGCAGAGGGAAAAGGAGCAAUCCGCUUUGAGAUGGCCUCGCGUCCGAUUAGCUAGUUGGUGAGGUAACGGCCCACCAAGGCGACGAUCGGUAGCCGGACUGAGAGGUUGAACGGCCACAUUGGGACUGAGACACGGUCCAA
rnacentral:rRNA from 1 species